CCUACGGGGGGCAGCAGUCGAGAAUCAUUCACAAUGGGGGAAACCCUGAUGGUGCGACGCCGCGUGGGGGAAUGAAGGUCUUCGGAUUGUAAACCCCUGUUAUGUGGGAGCAAAUUAAAAAGAUAGUACCACAAGAGGAAGAGACGGCUAACUCUGUGCCAGCAGCCGCGGUAAUACAGAGGUCUCAAUCGUUGUUCGGAAGCACUGGGCGUAAAGCGUGCGUAGGCUGUUUCGUAAGUCGUGUGUGAAAGGCGCGGGCUCAACCCGCGGACGGCACAUGAUACUGGGAGACUAGAGGAAUGGAGGGGGAACCGGAAUUCUCGGUGUAGCAGUGAAAUGCGUAGAUAUCGAGAGGAACACUCGUGGCGAAGGCGGGUUCCUGGACAUUAACUGACGCUGAGGCACGAAGGCCAGGGGAGCGAAAGGGAUUAGAUACCCGAGUAGUC
rnacentral:rRNA from 1 species